GAGAGAGAGUGAGAGCAUGUGCUCAUGAGUGGGGGAGGGGCAGAGAGAGAGGGAGAGAGAGAAUCCCAAGCUGGCUUCUCACUGUCAGUGCAGAGCCUGACAUGGGGCUCGAACCCACAAACCGUGAGAUCAUGACCUGAGCUGAAAUCAAGAGUUGGAUACUCAACAGACUAAGCCACCACCCAGGCACCCCUAUCUGCCUCUCGAUUCUGAGGAUGGGCUGGUUCUUGCAAGUUGGGGACAAUCUCCUGCCCCACUUGGACUUUCUCAGCUGUUCUCAGGUGGCCCUCUCCAGGAGGGUCAAUGGUCAAAGUACAAUGUAGGUAUUUCCUGGUCAGGACUCCUCCCGGAGAUAAUGCCUGUCACAGGAGGGGUGCCAACGAGGACUGAAGAAGGAUAGCCACAACAUCCUGCCACGAGUUGUUUACAGCCCACGAGAAGCCAUGAAGAAAAAAAAAACACAGCUAUUGAAGCAUUCAUUGAAGGAAAUAGAGGUGGGGCAAACUGUAGAACUGAACAAGGCCUGGGAGAAUGAGGCCGUGGCUGUGACUGCCACGUGAGGGGAAAGUUCUUAUACUGUAAGUGUUGGCUGGAGACUUCCUGCCAGUCUUAGGACUCUGCCUUUGAAAUGAAUUGAUCAGUGAUGGGGCCUGCCUCCUGAGGAUGCUAUACCACCAACCUGCCAUUGCUUCUCCAAAGAGGGUCAGCAAGGAUCCCAAGAGUCUAGGACUCCAAAGGGGGUUGCAACUGUGAAGCCUGGGUAUGGGGGGGGGGGGGGGGGCUCAGGGAAAGACUAGCCAUCUAAUUUGGAAUAACUGAGUUUUGUCCCAGUGCUGUCCUAGAGGCCCAGGACAUGGAGGGCUGUGCAGAUGAUAAGAGAGCAUAAGGCAAGCUGAGGGCAAAGUACAAGCUAACAACACCCUCCCCAUCCCCCCGCCCCCCAGGUGAAAUAAGGGUGACAUUCCUUUGGCACUCCUGGCUGCCCAAGAACAAAGAAAAGGAUAAAAAAACAAAUGGUUGAACUGAUAGAGAUCACAGGACAUGAGUCUCUAUCACUUUACAAAUAUCUUAGUAAAUUACAAGGAAAAAGCAAGCUUAUCAAUAGCCUAAUCUCCAGAAACCUAUAGCCCCAACAUCAUCCUCCCCUCCAUAGUGAUGUGGGGAACAAAGGCAAGAAGGAAAUGGAAGGUAAAAUUAAAUUUCCUUAUAACCUGCAGCCCAUUGACAAAUACUUGAGGCAAAUACAGAGUAUAACAUUUCUCCAGGAACUCUUAAUGUUAAUGUUUUGCUAGAGGGAAAAACAGCCUUAGCUUGACAAUAUCUAGGCCUCCAGUAAUCUGUGAGUCUUCCUUAGCAUGUGGAAAUCCCUUUAAGAAACUUCCUCUUGAUUUUAUCUCCUCCAACUCCAUAGUAUAUAACUAGUCACUCUUCAUAACCCCAGUGCAGCUCUUUCUGCCCAGGGGUCCUGUCCCUGCGCUUUAAUAAAACCACCUCUUUGCACCAAAGACCUCUUGAGAAUUCUUUCUUGGCCAUCAGCUCCAGACCCCCACCACUCCUGAACAACCACACCAUUUGGCAACCAAUGUGGGGCUUUGAGUCUUUUCAUCAGGACUCAGCUUUGGCGCAAACUUGGAGGUUCAGGCAUGUUGUCCACAUUGGAUUCAGCUGCCUCCGCCUUCGUAACUUCUCUACACCUUCCCCGACUGACCAAUAUUGACCCAUAGGUAGGGACAACUCUACACCCCUACUCAGCAGGAAGAAGCUGCGGAAGAUGAGACCUUCCACCUUCAGCAACUGUAAAGACUUAAGGGUCAAAAUUAUGCAGGGGGGAUAUGAUGAGGGAGCAUAAGGCAGGCUGAGGGCAAAGCACCCCACCCCAGGUGGGACAGGGGUGAUAUUCCUCAGGUAGUCCUGGCUGCCCCAGAACAAAGGAAAGGACAGAAAACAAAUGGUUGAGCUGAUAGCGAUCACAGGAACUGAGUCUCCAUCCGUUUACAAAUAGCUUAGUAAAUGACAAGAAAAAGGCAAUCUUAUCAAUAGCUUAAUCUCCAGAAGCCUCUAGCCCCAACACCACCCUCCCCUCCGUAGUGAUGUGCGGAACAAAGGCAAGAAGGAAAUGGCAGGUAAAAUUGAAUUUGCUUAUAAUCUGCUGCCCGCGGGACCUAUCCCCGGGCUUUAAUAAAACCACCUUUUUCCACCAAA